UUUUUGGAAAUAAUUUAAAGUCUUAUCUGCCCACUGAUAAAUAUAUUAAAGGGCUGCAGUAUUUUGACUGUACAAAGGUAGCAUAAUCAUUAGUCUCUUAAUUGGUGACUUGUAUGAAAGAUUGGAUGAAAUAUAAACUGUCUCUAAUUAAUUUAUAAAAUUUAAUUUUUUAGUAAAAAAGCUAAAAUAAUUUUAAAAGGCGAGAAGACCCUAUAGAGUUUUAUAAUUUAUUUGAUUAUUAUUAAUAUGUAAAUUUUAAAAUUAAAAUUAAAUAAAUUAUUUUGUUGGGGUGACAGAAAAAUUAAAUUAACUUUUUUAAAUAAUUAACAUUAAUUUAUGAAUAAAUGAUCCAUUAAUAUUGAUUAAAAGAAAAAAUUACCUUAGGGAUAACAGCGUAAUUUUUUUUUUUAGUUCAAAUAGGAAAAAAAGUUUGCGACCUCGAUGUUGGAUUAAGAUAAAAUUUAAAUG
rnacentral:rRNA from 1 species